CGGGUCAGUUCCAGGAGCUCCGCACUCCCAGCCAUCUCAGGGCAUUGUCGGAUCUCCUCCCAGAGUCCAGGGAAACUGGAUGGACGCUCCAGGGGCCCAGCCUGUCCUUGCUCUUAACUCUGACUUGUCUGUGUGCUUCUGGUCUCUGCUUCACUCCACUCAUCCAUGACCCACAGGGUCAUCCGUACCUCCUUGUCAAGGACCGCAGGCUCCAAGGAAAGAUGGAAGGAAACAAGUAUUGUUAAGCACUUACAACGUGUACCAGGCUAAGAGCUUUACAAGUAUCUUAACUAUCCUGGGAGGUUCACCAGUACCUGCUGCUUGCCCUCCCAUGCCACAAAAAGUUGUCAGCAUCUUUCCUCAAUUUCAUAGUAUCCAAAGUCACCUGAAGAAAGAGGCUCAUCAACAGUGACAUACAGAUAUAGCAGCAUAUGGAAAGCAUGGAUGUGAAAACCUGUUUUUCAGUAUUAUGAGUUUACCUUUCUGAUUAAUAAAU